AGUGAACGCUGGCGGCAGGCCUAACACAUGCAAGUCGAGCGGCAGCGGGUCCCCGCGAGGGGAUGCCGGCGAGCGGCGGACGGGUGAGGAACACAUCGGAAUCUGGCCUGGUUGUGGGGGAUAACGUAGGGAAACUUACGCUAAUACCGCAUGCGGACCCUGAGUCGACGGACUUGGGGUGAAAGUGAGGGACCUUCGGGCCUCACGCGACCAGAUGAGCCGAUGUCGGANAGCUAGUUGGCGGGGUAACGGCCGCCAAGGCGACGAUCCGUAGCUGGUCUGAGAGGAUGAUCAGCCACACUGGGAC
rnacentral:rRNA from 1 species